UCCCAAAUUCGCUUCUUCACUCUCUGGUCUCCACACUUCAGAAAUCAGGAAUGUCUCUUACUUACUUUUAUUCAUAGUCUAGUUUCGAUUUGUGACAGUAUGUGGUUAAAUAUAGUUUCAUUUUUUUUGAUCUUUUUUCUAGGGUUUAUUACUUUAAUCGUACAAUCCAAUGUUUGUCGCUAAACCAAUUAUUGUGUUAUAGUGUUAUUGUUUUUCUUUGCGUAAUGUUUGAGUGUCUUGAUCUCAUCAGAUUUUUUUUGGAAUUGCUAUCUAUUUGUUUACCUGUUCAAUUGCUAUGAAUUGGUUUGUAGAGUGUUUAUUUUGUUGUUUUCCAGGGUUUAGUGCUUUGAUAAUGUGUUCUAUGUUGUCUUUCGGAUAUCGACUGCUGUGUGAUUUUUGUUUCUGUGGUGUCUAAUUGUUGUUCGCUAAUUGUACUGAUAAGAUUUUUGUUAAAAACGCUUAGUGGCAAGACUAUUACGCUCGAGGUCGAAAGUUCUGAUUAAAUGGAUAAUGCUAAGGCAAAGAGCCAGGAGGAGGGGAUCCCUCUGGAUCAGCAGAGGUUGAUUUUUGCUGGGGAAACAGCUUGAGGAUGGAUGAACCUUGGCUGAUUAUAAUAUGCAGAAGGAAUCGACUUCGUUAAGACUCUGACAGGAAAGACUAUUACUCUUGAGGUUGAGAGCUCAGACUUAAUUGAUAAUUUUAAGGAUAAGGAAGGAUUCCCCCGGACCAGCAGAGGCUGAUAUUUGCUGGUAAACAACUUGAGGAUGGUCGUAGACUAGUGGAGUAAAACAUCAUAAAGGAGUCAACACUUCACUUGGUUCUUUAUCUUCGAGGUGGAAUGCGAAUUUUUGUAAAGACACUUACUGGGAAGACGAUCACACUUGAGGUUUAGAGCUCAGAAACCAUUAAUAAUGUGAAGUCAAAGAGUCAGGAUAAGGAGGAGAUCCCUCCAGAUCAGCAGAGUUUUGCUGGGAAGCAGUUGAAGCAUGGAAGAAGAAGAAUUUUGGCAGACUAUAAUAUCCUGAAGGAUUAUACUCUUCACCUUGUCCUCUGUCUCGGUGGUGGUUAUCAAGUCUGAGUUCAGUGUCUUGAUGUCUGGUCUGUGUUAACAACUGUUCUAUCUUUCUGUUGUUCCUUCCUUUUGUCAAGUGAGCUAAUAUUUGCAUGACAAUGAUUAUAUUUGGUAUUGAUGACUGCUACAACACUUUAAGUGUUAAAUCUAUAUUCAGUUUAUUUUGUUCUCUCACUUUUCAGUUAGUAGUGCUCAUAAUGUGCUUGACGAGCAGCAAGGAUCUGUUGAUCCUCUGGUCUAUUACAAUUUCUUCAUUUUGUAGAAUGAGUUUUCAUUGAUCAGAACUCUUCUGUUCUCACAGUUAUACAAUCAGGGUACUGAAAUCUCCUAGAUUGUUUUAUUAUUCUUGUUACAUUAUCUCUAUUCUGCAUGAUAUGCUAGACAGUUGCCACACUUAUUCAAUUAGGGUACUGAGAUAUCCUAGAUUGUUGCAUUAUCCUUGUCACAUUAUUUUUGUUCUGUAUGAUAUGUUAAACAGAGCUAAAAAGCUCUCGUCGGAUGACGGCAGGAUUGAACUUGUGAUGUUUAUGAUCCAAGAAGAGUACUAGUAUCAUUCCACAAGACUAUCAACUUGGAAACCAAAUUUCUUGUAAAGAUUCAAGGCAGCAGUUCUUGACGGGUCUACAUGAAGUGAUAUUCGGCGGACAUUUCUAGCUCUGCAUUUCUCUAUUGCUGCAUGUAGCAGUGCCUCUCCUUGGCCUUGUCUCCUGUACUUUUCUUUUACCGAUUUAUGAUUUACAAGCAAUAAAAUAAGAUCGUUACCUAAUAAUUCAAUCCACAAGAAUAGCGCAUCCAGAACACUAUGACUCAUCUAUAUGACUUCCUAAUGUGCUUUUAGCAGUUAAGAAGUUGUUUAGGUCAUCUAUAUAUAUGACUUCCUAAUGCGCUUCUAGUAGUUAAGAAGUUGUUUAGGUUCCGCCAUAAUGUGCAGGGAUGGACCAACGGUACAAUUACCUGUUAGUCUGUAACCACUUUCCUUACCUUGCCUACUUAUAUGCCUAACAUUGUGGUUCAACACAUUUACAAAGAAGAAAUUACAAGCCAGCCUAAAAAUUUUACCACUUGAAAUAGAAGAUAUAUGAAGUCUGUGUGCAUAUAUAAGCAUAUACAGAUGAGGUUAUUUUCUAGAUAACUUGAAUGUUCUGUGACAAAUAGUGUUGGGUUGAUUUACACAAUCUAGCUUCCAAAUAAAAAAGAAAGGGCCUUGCUAUCUUGCCUAUCUACUUAAACACACAGAGCUCUAAUAACCACCAACAAGAAUGUUUUAUGAGGUGCUGAUACCCGCAUAGGAGAAAUAUCGAAAGGUUAAAUUGUAAGGUAUGUACUUGAGACCGGCUUGCAUAAGCAUGUUAAUUUUAAAUGCGUAAGCAAAUUUUUGUACCAUUGAUAAUGUGAUGGCAAAGAGUCAGGAUAAGGAGGAGAUCCCUCCAGAUCAGCGAAGGCUUAUUUUUGCUGGGAAGCAGUUGGAGGAUGGAAGAACUUUGGCAGACUAUAAUAUCCAGAAGGACUCUACUCUUCACCUCGUCCCCUUCUUCGUGGUGGUUAUCAAAUUCGAAGUACAGAAGGCAUUUAGUUCUUUGUUUCAAAAGAUACAGAUGGGCAUAUAAUGUUCUGGGGAAGGAAACAUGCAUAUGAAUGAACAGCGAAAGAACAAGCAUAUUCUAACACAAGGAAUAGAAGAUGCAAAAUUUUGUUAAAAAGGCUUAGUGGCAAUGCUAUUACUCUCGAGGUCGAAAGUUCUGUACGACGGAUGAUGCUAAGUCUAUAGGAAAAGGAGCUGAUCUCUCAGUAUCAGCAGAGGUUGAUCUUUGCUGGGAAACAGCUGGAGGAUCGAUGAACCUUCGCUUGAUUAUGAUAUUUAGAAGGAAUCGACUCUACAUUUGGGUUCUUCGGCUUAGAAGAGGGAUGCAGAUCUUUGUUAAGACUCUGACAAGCAAGACUAUUACUCUCGAGGUUGAGAAAUCGGACAAUCAGACAUAAAUGAUAAUGUUAAGGAUAAUGAAAGGGAUCCCUGGACCAGCAGAGGCUGAUAUUUGCGGCUAAACAGCUUGAGGAUGGCCAUCUUCUUUGACUCGGUGGUGGAAUGCAAAUUUUUGUGAAAACCCUUACCGGUAAGACCAUUAUGUUGGAGGUUGAGAGCUCCGACACUAUCAAGUCAAGGCUAAGAUCCAAGAUAAGGAAGGUAUUCCCCUAGACCAGUAGAGAUUGAUAUUUGCAGGUAAGCAGCAUGAGGAUGGUCGUACACUAACGGAUUUCAACAUCCAAAAGGAGUCAACACUUCACUUGGUUCUUCAUCUUCGUGGUGGAAUGCAAAUUUUUGUAAAGACGAUUACACUUAAGGUUUAGAGCUCAGAUACCAUUGAUAAUGUGAAGGCAUAGAUUCAGGAGGAGGGGAUCCCUCCAGAUCAGCAGAGGCUUAUUUUUGCUGGGAAGCAGUUGGAGCAUGGAAGAAUUUUGGCAGGCUAUAAUAUCCCGAAGGUGUCUUCUCUUCACCUUGUCCUCUGUCUCUAUGGGGGUUAUCAAGUCUGAGUUCAGUGUCUUGAUGUCUGGUCUAUGUUAACAACUGUUCUAUCUUUAUGUUGUUGCUUCCUUUUGUUAAGUAGCUAAUAUUUGCAUGACAAUGAUUAUAUUUGGUAUUGAUGACUGCUACUACACUUUAAGUGUUAAAUCUAUAUUCAGUUACUUCUGUUCACUCACUUUUCAGCUGGCAGUGCACAUAAUGUGCUUGAAGAGCAGCAAGCAUCUGUUGAUCCUCUGGUUCGAUUGCAAUUUAUUCAUUUUGUAGAAUGAGUUUUCAUUGAUCAGAACUCUUCUGUUCUUACAGUUAUACAAUCAUGGUACUGAGAUCUCCUAGAUUGUUGUAUUAUUCUUGUUACAUCAUCUCUGUUCUGCAUGAUAUGCCACAGACAGUUGUCACAUUUAUUCAAUCAUGGUACUGAGAUCUCCUAGAUUGUUGUAUUAUUCUUGUCACAUUAUAUUUGUUCUGUAUGAUAUGCUAAACAGAGCUAAAAAGCUCUUAUUGUCCUGAUGACAGGAUUGAACUUGUCGCAUUUGUUGAUGUUUGUUGAUGUUUAUGAUCCAAGGUGUGUAUUGUUUACUAUUUUUUUGUUUAUUAUGUGUUUCUUCCCCAUUGAUGCAUCUUAUAUUUUUCUCAUGAUUAAUUUUGUUUUGCUAAAAAUUUAGUCUUACGAUUAUGUUCCACAAGAGUAGUGUCGUUCCACAAGACUAUCAACUUGGAAGCCAAAGUACUUGUGAAGAUUCAAGGCAGCAGUUCUUGACAGGUCUACUUGAAGUGAUAUUCAGUGGACAUCUCUAGCUAUGCAUUUCUCAAUUGCUGCACGUAGCAGUGCCUCUCCUUGGCCUUGUUUCCUGUACUUCUCUUAUACUGAUUUAUGAUUUACAAGCAAUAAAUUAAGAUCAUGACCUAAUAAUUUAAUCCACAAGAAUAGCGCCUCCAGAACACUGUGACUCAUCUCUGAAUUCCUAAUGCGCUUUUAGCAGUUAAGAGAGUUGUUUAGGUUCCGCCAUGAUGUGCAGGGAUGGACCAAUGGUACAAUUACCUGUUUGUCCGUAACCACCUUCCUUGCCUUGCCUACUUAUAUGCCUAACAUGUAGUCCAACACAUUCACAAAGAAGAAAUUACAAACCAGCCUAAAUAUUUUACCACUUGAAAUAGAAGAUCUAUGAAGUGUGUAUGCAUAUAUAAAAGCAUAUACAGAUUAGGUCAUUUUCUAGAUAAGGUGAAUGUUCUGUGGCAAAUAGUGUUGGUUUGAUUUACACAAUCUAGCUUCCAAAUAAAAAAGAAGUGGCCUUGCUAUCUUGCCUAUCUACUUAAACACACAGAGCAACUAAUAACCACCAACAAGAAUCUUUAUGAGGUGUUAAUACCCGCAUAGGAGAAAUAUCAAAGGGUAAAUUAUGAGGUAUGUACUUGAGACCGGCCUGCAUAAGCAUGUUAAAUUUUGAAUGCAUAAGCAAAUUUUUGUAAAGACACUUACUGGGAAGAUGAUCACACUUGAGGUAAAGAGCUCAGAUACCAUUGAUAUUGUGAAGGCAAAGAUUCAGGACAAGGAGGGGAUCUCCAAAUCAGCAAAGUCUCUCAAUAACUUAUAUUUUUGCUGGGAAGCAAUUAAUGGAUUGAAGAACUUUGGCAGACUAUAAUAUCCAGAAGGAGUCUACUCUUCACCUCGUCCCACGUCUCCGUGGCGGUUAUCAAGUUUGAGUUUAGUGCCUUGAUCUCUGGUCUGUUUUAACAACUGUUCAAUCUUUCUGUUGUUUUCUCCUUUCGAGUGAACUAAUAUAUGCAUGACAAUGAUUAUAUUUGGUUUUAAUGGAAUGUACUACAACUAUUUUAAGUGAUAAAUCUAUUCUCUGACUGUUUAAUUAGCAGUGCACAUAAUGUGUUAGACCACUAGCUUGAAAUACUGGCUGAUAUAUAUUAAAUAAGCAGCAACCAUUUGUUGUGAGUUUUUAUGAAUCUAAAUACUUCUGUUAUGUUCCUAUAGUUAAACAUUUAGGGUGCUGAUAUUUCUCACACCACUGUGUUAUUCUUAGUGCAUUAUCUUGGUUCUGCAUGACUGAACAUAGUUAAAAGCUUUUAUUUUUUGAUGGCAGGAUUGUACUUGUCAAACUUGCUGAUGGCUCUAAGGUCUAAUAUUUUCAUGAACAAAAUCAAACACUAAAAACUAUAUAAAUAUUGCUAUCAUAUGGAAUCAGCAUGCAAGCACGGGCUGUCAUGAUUUUAAAGUACAAAAGGGAUUUAGAUUCUUUCUUUCAAAGAUACAGAUAGUCAUAUAUUGUUCUGGGGAAGGAAACAUGCAUAGGAUGAUAUGAAUGAACAGCGAAAGAACAAGCAUGUUCCAACGCAAGGAAUA